rnacentral:rRNA from 1 species
AUGAAAAGUGAAAUAUUUUUGAUUCGUGCUGAUGAUACUACUAUGCAAAACUAUGCUGAGAUGUUUAACUGCCAGAUAGGUAACUUUCCUAUCAAAUACCUAGGCAUGCCUGUGAGUUAUGCUGGCUUGAAAUGCAGUGACUGGAUCUUUGUUGAUGACAAGUUCAUUGAUCACUGCGAAAACUGGAUUAGUGAAAUCCUA